CACCUUCUAGCAUGCCUUAAUUGAGGGGGAAUAUUCAAUUAAGGGGGAAUAGUUUGCAUGACUUGUAUGUUGAGAUAUAGCAUGAAUUUAGGGGGAAUACUAUAUGCAUAUCUCCUAUUGUUUGUCAUUAUCAAAGAGGGGGAAAUUGUUGGAAAUCAUUGAUAUCAUUGAUAUGUGUUCUUUGGUUGUAUUAACAUGAUUUCCAAGUGCAGUUUUUGAUGAAUGACAAACAACGAAGUCAAAUGUCAAACAACUAUAUUAGUGUAUGACAUAUGACAAACAAUGAAGAUGCAUUAGCAAACGAUCAAGAUGGUUGACGAAUCAAUGAUGAUGAAUCAAAUAAUCAAGACUGAAUGCCAAG
rnacentral:lncRNA from 1 species